rnacentral:lncRNA from 14 species
GGCAGGUGAGCGGCGGGAGCGAAUGGCGGAGCAAUGGGAUCUGGACGAGGAGUGCCUCCGCCGCCUGGGGGCGCUGACCCUCGAGCAGCCGGAACUGGUGGAGUCUCUCUCAUUGCAGGGAUCUUAUGCUGGAAAAAUCCACUCUAUUGGUGAUGCCUUCAGAAAUUUCAAAAAUCUCCGAUCCUUAGAUUUAUCAAGGAAUUUGAUCACUAGUCUGAAGGGCAUCCAGUAUCUAUGUUCACUCCAAGAUCUGAACUUAUAUUAUAACAACAUUCCUUCAUUAGUGGAGGUGUCCCGACUACAGCCCUUACCCUUCCUCAAAGAACUAGAUUUGAGACUCAAUCCUGUUGUAAGGAAAGAUACAGAUUAUAGGCUCUUUGCUGUGUACACACUGCAAAUGCUGGAGAAACUGGAUGACCGAGCUGUCCGUGACAGUGAGAGGAGAGCGGCCAAGCUACAUUUCAGUCAGUUGGGCAGCAGUGAAAAUUUUCUCCUAGAGGUGGAAAAAAGCUCUAGGGAGAAGACAAUGAAAAACUGUGUGACAGAUGAGGGCCCUGCAUCACACGUCAGUUCUGAGGUUGACACCAGAAUGGAAACAGACUCAAACAAAGGACUUUUUAUUUCCUUCCCCAACCGGGAAAUAAAGGAUUCCCUAGCAAGCAUUUGUGCAACCCAGGGCAGUGGCACACCAGCUCAGAAAUUAGACGUUUUUCCACUGGAGACACAGAUGCAGGAAGCAACAAGAAGGGAGACAAGUGACCUCCACCAGGAAGAUGGAUUGGAACUCAGGCAUUACUCGCCUCAUCAGGGCACAGUCCGAUCUCCAGAGAAGAUGACAAGAGAUGGAUACCGAGUAUCUUUUUUAGACACUAAGUCUUCAGGUUCUUCUCCAGUAAAGGACUUGAUACCAAAACCUGAUGCCUAUCCGUGUACCCAUGAUGCCUCUUUGGGUAAACGUCUGGAUGUGGGUGAUUCUAACCAGAUCCUUCCCUGCCAAUUACCUUCUGGUGUUUGUCUGGACCAUUAUGAUAAUCAUUAUUCUCAAACUCUUUGCCUGCACGGAAGUCUUGUCAAAAGGCCUCAAAAAGGCAAGUACUAUCGAGAAUACAGCACAAAGCCUUCCAAUGAUAAAAAGGCCGCUUCAUCCCUUUCCUGUGGAGACCUGCUAACAUCCCUGUCAAACCCUGACUGCAGCACAGGAAGGCCAUUGAAGCUCAGUUCAGAUCUCUAUGCCACAACCCGUUUCAACAGUGACCAUGCUCUGCUGGCCAAUGUAGAGCAACAGCUGUCCAGCCUCGGUGAUUUUGCACCAGCACCUGGUUCCUUCCCAAGCAACCCUGCCCUAGGAAAUUCUCUGCGGACACUGCUGUUGCCUCCUGGGACUCCAGAAAACAGAGAGAUUCCAACUAAGAGGUCAUUAAGCCCUUCAAGGAGAGGAUUCAAGCGGAAGGACAAUAUCCUUGCCAACCUGAAUCUGAAACGUGGUUUCCAAGAUGCUACAGGCAGCGAGCCUUUCUCUAGUGACCUGGGCAGUUUGCAUGGUUUAUCAGGAAACCGUAGUCCCCCGAUCUCUGCCAGAACACCCCACGUAGCCACUGUCCUCAGACAGCUCCUGGAGCUGGUGGAUAAGCACUGGAAUGGUUCUGGCUCCCUUCUCCUCAACAAGAAGUUUCUUGGUCCUGCCAGAGAUUUGCUCCUGUCCUUGGUGGUGCCUGCACCUCCCCAGCAGUGGCAUCGCUCGCUGCUUGACGACAAGACAGGGAGAGCCUUGCACUGGAGGGAGACGGAGCUAAAGGAAGCAGGGCAGCUGGUUCCCAGUGAUGUGGAAAGUUUGAAGCAAAAACUGGUCAAAGUGUUGGAAGAAAACCUUAUUUUGUCAGAAAAAAUUCAGCAGUUGGAGGGAGCUGCUGCCACCUCGGUUGUGAGUGGGCACCCAUCUCACACACACGAUGAUCUUCUGCACAAAAACCAACAGCUGACCAUACAGGUGGCUUGCCUGAACCAGGAGCUGACUCAGCUGAAAAGGCUGGAGGAGACAGUUGCUCUUCUCCAUGAGAGUCAGAGGUCCCUGGUGGUAACUAAUGAGUAUCUGCUGCAGCAGCUGAAUAAAGAGCAGAAAGGUUAUUCCGGGAAAUCGCUCCUGCCUCCUGAGAAGACUCAUCCUUUGGGGAGAUUGUCGCCCUUUGGGAAAAGCACUCUGUCUUCCUCCUCACCAACGGUACACAACACGGGUCCUGGAGCCUGCUUAAUAGAAGACCACGAUACAGCCUUGGUCAAGCUGCCAGACUAGGUGGCUCUGAAGCUUCCAUAUGGCUCAAAGAUAAGAGAAAACAAGACGUAGAUCAAACCCUCCAAUCACUCCACUUCCUCAGCCUGAAUAGGCUGACUGGCCUCAUGGGGUACUAUUGUGUGACCUCAGAAAGUCACUAUCCUGUCUGAGCAUCUUUUUUCAUAAGGUCCUGAAUGAGAAAUGUUCCCAUAUGUUCAU